rnacentral:lncRNA from 1 species
GAAAGACGGAGAGAAUGGAAGAGCUCCUGUCCGGUGUGCCAGCAGCCCGGACUGGCGGUGAGCGCGAGGGAGGCUACUGAGAAGCCCGGCGACGGAGGAACGCAGGUCUGCUGCCAGGGAUUGAGGAGACUGAAGAAUGCUGAAGACAGGCUGAUGGGCUCAGCUGGUAGGCUCCACUAUCUCGCCAUGACUGCUGAAAAUCCCACUCCUGGAGACCUGGCUCCGGCCCCCCUCAUCACUUGCAAACUCUGCCUGUGUGAGCAGUCUCUGGACAAGAUGACCACACUCCAGGAAUGCCAGUGCAUCUUUUGCACAGCUAUGGAUAAUGUGCUUAUGGUGUAACCAGGUUUGAGGGAGGCAUAUCUCAUGUGACUGGGAGAAGCCAAUCAUCAUGCUUAUGAACUACAAGAGGAUCUAUACUGGUAUAUUUUCUUGGAUUUAAUAAAGCUUUAACAAU